GAACAAGUGAGGAAGUUAGUCUCAUCCUGCUACUCAGCCAUUAGUCUGUCUUAGGUUGGCUUUCAGCUUCCUUAUUCCUCUGUUCCCUCCUGGGCAUACGUUCUGUUCAGGUUCAUCCUCUUCCCGCCAGGCCUGCCUGCAGGCAGCCCCUGAAGUUCUCUCUAGUGGGGUUUAGCAGCAAUUUGGGCUGCGCAUUAGAAUCGCUUGGAAGCUAAAAAUAAUAUACUGAUCCCUGGGCUCCACCCAGAAGUUGGGAUUCAUUGGAUGUGUGGUGGGGCCCAGGCAUCAUUUUUUAUUACGACAGCAUCUGCUGUCCUCGCUGCAGAGCAUGUGUGUACCAGAAUCGUUCCUGUGACAGACAUUGGAGCUGUUUCAGAUUUUCCGACUGUAGUACAGUCUAUAUCCAUCUUUUUGUGAGAUCUUGUCUGUCAAGAAAAAUCGUAAAUGACUUUGAAAUGGGUGGGAAAAGAUUCCUGGGUGUUUUGUCUGGCUCACCCAUCAGAGCUAUUUCUGCCUCUCAUUGUCUUUGAGCUAUUUUACAACUCUAAUUGUGGAAAGCUGAUAAUAACGUACCUGAUUCUUAUCCAUUGAAAUGCCAAUUUUCUGUGCCUGUGGAAUGUAGCUGAUUAUCUUGGGACACCAGAGAUUGUCCAAUCUCUCCCCAGGUGGUUAUCAGGUGGAGUCAGGAGAUCUCGGGCUUAGAAGAUUGUAGGUGAUUUCUAAACACAGUCUCUAGUCCUUCUGGACUCAGUGGGAACUGAAGGCUUAUUUAUUUAGCUGUAUGCUUAGACAGCCCAUUGGAAAUAAUAAUAAUAAGAGCUAACAAUUACUGAACACUUAUGUAAUAUACCAGAUACUUUUUUGAGAAUUUUUGAUAUUAUAAUGUGGGUGCCAUUUCAGAAACAACCUGAUGUAAUAGGAACUCUUAAUAUUCCCCCCAUGCAGAUGGGGAAGUUGAGGCCAGAGAAGUUGCUGGGGGUUAUGUUGCUCGUGCCACCCUAUGGAGGUAGGUGCCCUGGGGUCUCAUCUGGUCCCAGAUGCUUCCUUCACUAAGUCACUUAGCUGCUCUGAGCCUGCUGCUGAGUGAUAAGGCAUUAGGUGUGAGCAUGGCCAUCUGAGAUGGGCUCAAUGAAGGUCAUGCUCCAGGCUGUCACCCUGUGUCCUUUGCAUAUUGGUUUGUAUACUUGUCAUCUGCUUGAUCAGAGUGAGUCACAUGUCAGCCUUUUCAUGAGUGCGCUUAGGGGAAGAAGAUGAGGCAGUUCUACCACAGUGGGGCUUUCUUAGGGAUGUUCAAGUUCCCACAACCCUGGUUGUGAGAUAUGUGAUUAAAAAUUAAGGGACAGGUAUACAUACACUGUUCCAGGGCCUUCCGUCUUUUCUACCAGCCAGUGCUCAGAACAGCCCUGGGAAGAAGAUAAUUAUUAUCCCCAUCUGACAGAUGAGAAAACCAAGGCUCAUUCAUUCAUCCUUGUGUUUCUUCUCUCAUUUACCUCAAUCGGGCCAGAUAUGAUCUAGGCUCCAAGACACAGUGGCAAGUUAGGAAGUUGCACUGAGUCCUUACUGGAGUUCACUGUCCUCCACGAGGGGUGAAGUGAGAAGUCAGGGGAGAUGCCAAAGGCCACACAGCCAGGAAGUGCCAGGGCUGGGCCUGUGUGGCCUCCUGAGCCAUUUUGCAUUUGAAUGUACAGGGCGGUUCCAAGACCAGGAAGUCCCCCACCUCCAGUCAGACAGUUUCCAGGUGUCCUUAGCCCAAGGAGGCCUCUCACCCGUCCCCAGAGAGACCCAGGCUCCCCAGGAACUAAUUUCUUAAGGGAACUUUAUGGCUCUUAACUCCCUAAGCGGAUCCAGAUGUGCCUUGUGGCUGGCACUGCUGCAGAUGUCCUGGCCAAAGCCAGCUUGGUUUGGAAGCCCAGCCCUGGCAGCCGCUAAGUCUGGAAAUGAAGUAAAUGAGCGAGUUGUUCUUGGCCAUUUUCCCCUCAUCUCAACCCAACUUAAAUCAAACUCGGGCUCUGACCUCAGGCAUCGCACAUUCCAGUGUUCCCCCAGCCUCCUGGGGUUCCAGGACAUAAGGCAGGAGAUGACUGAGUUGGGGGCCCCUGAGCAGACAAGAGAAGUGUUCUGGAGGGAGAAUGGGACAUGAGGCUGGGGCAGCUGAAGCAGCUGCAUUCCUCCAUGCACCAGGCCUUGCAGAAACAGAAGGGGCUCCUGCUGGGCUGAGGCUGGCCUCCAACCUGUGGGGGGUCCAGGCCUGCUGGGAACAAGGAGGUAAUACUUGCUAAGCAGCUGGGUGGAGGAAGGGGUUGGCGGACACUGAUUUGGGGCACCUCUAUCCCCUCAGCAUCUCAGCCCAAACCCAACUUCCUGAGCGCUGGUGGGCAUCUCCGAGGAGGGCCUUUUCCCCUGGGUGGUUAAUGAGAGCUGCACCUGGAUUCCUGAGGUCCCGGGGAGGCCGGCUCAAACCUGGGUGGUCAGGGGUGAGCAUGGCACUGACUCCUCCACCCCUAAGGUCCAGACCAAACCACACAGUCCUCGAGGGUGAAUCACUUUGAAGUGUGGGGUUCUGGGGCCUGUGGCAGGCCAAGGGAGCCGACUUGGCGGGAAUGGGCAGGCAGACAGGCUUGUCCAUACACUUAGCUUCCGGGCAGUUCCUCCUCUCGGAGGCCAAGGAAGCAGAGGUCAAGGGCCUGGGUUUGAAGGUCAGAGAGAGGCUGAGUUCAAAUGGCACUUCCUAGCCAUGUGAUCUUGGGCAAGUCAGUGUUCUCUGGGCCUCAGCUUGCUUCAUCUGCAAACCGGGGGCAUUCUUCCACUUCUUCGGAGGGUCCACGUGAGGACCAAAGGAGGAAAUCUAUGAAAUGAUUAGCUUGGUGACUGGAUCCGAAGAUUGAAUGGUACCAAACAGUAGUUUUGGGAGGGCUUAGCCCUAGCAUCACUGUAUGGCCACCCCACCUGCAUUGACACACUUAGUAAAUAAAAAAUGGGCUGUUCUGCCAAGAGUUGUUAGACAAUCUGCCUGUAUUCCUUGUUUCAUUGAGUUGCUGCCCCAGCCCUUCUGUACAAAUCUGGAGGGGCCUUUAGUCUGCCCUGUGUAUUAUAACUGUCUUUGGUACUAUGACCUUUAUACAAAAAAAUGUGAGAGCUGUA